AGGAGGCAGCAGUGGGGAAUUUUGCGCAAUGGGGGAAACCCUGACGCAGCAACGCCGCGUGAGUGAUGAAGGCCUUCGGGUCGUAAAGCUCUGUCAGAGGGAAAGAAGUGUAUUGUGGCUAAUACCCGCGAUACUUGACGGUACCCUCAAAGGAAGCACCGGCUAACUCCGUGCCAGCAGCCGCGGUAAUACGGAGGGUGCGAGCGUUGUUCGGAAUUAUUGGGCGUAAAGCGCGUGUAGGCGGCUCCUUAAGUCUGAUGUGAAAGCCCCGGGCUCAACCUGGGAAGUGCAUUGGAAACUGGGGAACUUGAAUACGGGAGAGGGUAGUGGAAUUCCUGGUGUAGGAGUGAAAUCCGUAGAUAUCAGGAGGAGCACCGGUGGCGAAGGCGGCUACCUGGACCGAUAUUGACGCCGAGACGCGAAAGCGUGGGGAGCAAACAGGAUUAGAUACCCCAGUAGUCGU
rnacentral:rRNA from 1 species